AUUGAACGCUGGCGGCAGGCCUAACACAUGCAAGUCGAGCGGAUGAGAAGAGCUUGCUCUUCGAUUCAGCGGUGGACGGGUGAGUAAUGCCUAGGAAUCUGCCUGGUAGUGGGGGACAACGUUUCGAAAGGAACGCUAAUACCGCAUACGUCCUACGGGAGAAAGCAGGGGACCUUCGGGCCUUGCGCUAUCAGAUGAGCCUAGGUCGGAUUAGCUAGUUGGUGAGGUAAUGGCUCACCAAGGCGACGAUCCGUAACUGGUCUGAGAGGAUGAUCAGUCACACUGGAACUGAGACACGGUCCAGACUCCUACGGGAGGCAGCAGUGGGGAAUAUUGGACAAUGGGCGAAAGCCUGAUCCAGCCAUGCCGCGUGUGUGAAGAAGGUCUUCGGAUUGUAAAGCACUUUAAGUUGGGAGGAAGGGCAGUAAGUUAAUACCUUGCUGUUUUGACGUUACCGACAGAAUAAGCACCGGCUAACUCUGCGCCAGCCGCCGCAGUAAUAC
rnacentral:rRNA from 1 species